CCUCAGGUGUGCUGUGUUUUGUGGAGUUCUGCUGGUGCAAAACCACUUCCUUAAGAGAUUGCUCCCUGCUCCUCUUUGGGGAUUCUGCAACUUGUAGACUGCAGCUUGGCAGCCUCUCCAGAAAAAAGCAGAGAACCAAUUGAGUUGUUCCUUUUAUCUCUGACCAUGGGAGGUAUCUUUGGCAAGAACAAGAGGUCCUGUGUGCUUCCUAAAAGAGUUAUCUUCCGUAAGGCCAAAGGGGAAAAGGCAUCAAGGACUGUUCACAUGUUCUGUGAUGCAUCAACAUGGACUGGGGAGAACCAUUUUUAUUCAGCAAGGAUAGGAAGGACUCCAAAGGGCCCUGAACCUGCUGCUACAAAAAUGGUGUUGGCCACUCCUAGGAGUGAAUGUGUUGCCCAAGAUGAACAGGAGGCAGGCAAUCAGGCUGCAUCUCUGCAGGCACAACAUGCUGAGGCUUCGCUCUCCACAACUGUCAGAGACGUGCAAGAUGUUGAGGUGCCAGAGGACUCGGAAGCCAAAGCUAGCAGAGAGGUCGUGCAGCAUCAGGAACUCACUGAACAGAGAAGACAAGAAGCUCAGUCUGCUAGGAGAAGCCUACAAGAGAACAGCAAGACUGAAGCUGUUGGAUAUCCUACUGGCAGAUGUACCAAGCAGCCCAGUUGUGAGGACCAUGAAGUGGCAGUUCUUACACAGACCAUGGUGAAGGCUGAAGUCCAUGUGUCUGCAGAUGUCCAAGGUGGACUUGGCAAGCUUGAGUCAGCUGCAGCAGAGUCUGAGCUGCUGGCUGGAGCAGAACAAGAGGCUAGAGUUCUGUGGGAUUCAGAGGAAGCUUGUCUUGGGAGGACACAUCAGGAAGCAGCUGUGCAGAAGGCAGUUGACUGUUCAGCUGCUUUGUGUACCACGGAGUCCGACCUGCCUUUGAAGACUACAGAGACAAGAGGGGGCAUUACAAAUGUGCAGAGACAUGCAGAAGAGCAAGCAGUAGAAGAGAAAGAAUGUUUUGUUACCAAAGCCCCACCUGAUUUCCAGCUGGAAGAAGAUAUAAAGGUUCCCAUUCCUGAAGAUCAGGGAGAAAAUGCUUCUGAACUGGAGCAAGCUGAAGAAAUGGCUGAGGUCUGUGAUGAUGGGCAGACAUCAAACACAACCCCAGGCUGCCUGGUAGGAACCCAGGCUGCUCUGCAGGACAAGGAGGAGAUCAAAGCUAGCAGAGCAGGGGAGCUCUGAGGGAGAACAGUAAGUCUGGAGCAGCAACCACGGAGCAGGUUGGUGGUUUGUCUGCAGCCAUGUGACCAACCUGCUGCAGUCCUCCUGUAAGGGACUCAGAUGUCGAUAGGUGCUCGGACCCAGGGGUCAGUGCAUUGGGAAGUGCUGCUAAGCUUAAAGCUGAUGUAUGGCCUCCAAGUGGCACUGACUUCUCUCCUGAGGGGAUGGGCGUGAGCUGUGCAACUCAGAGCAAAAAGUGCAUCAUAAAGAUGAUUUUCCUUUUCCUUUCUCCACCUGCACACACACACCCUGGCUACAGCCAUGCGCUUCAUCACCUCCCUGUGUGUGACUGUACAGGGUUAAGUCUUCUCUGCCAAAAGAAGCCAGCUGUAUCUAUGGCACUUGUCUGUACACUCUACUCUGUCACUGCUGGGGGGAUGCUCUGUGGAUUGGGAAGUCUGUGUUGCAAAUGGAAUCAAUAAAUGUGUGCAUUUUA